GGAGUGUCUCUCGCUCCGACUGAAGCAGCAUUUCCGGAAAAGCUGCGAACUUCACGAGCGCCGGCAUUGAUUUUAACAGCCCCGUCAAAGGUAAACAGAGACGCAGUAGAGGUGAAGGAACAGCUAAGGUGAGACUACGAGUAAAACGAGCUUCCUGCCUCUCGCAUCGCUACACGCCGGAAGGAGUCCCGCUAAAUACAGAAACUCGAUGCAAGAAAGACGGGAGCGCGGAGAUGGCGGGGACCCAGAGCGCGCACCUUCGGGGACGCGCUGGAGGGAGGCGCUGCACUGCCGGGACACAAUGGCAGGGACCAGAACGCGCACCGUCCGGGACGCGCUGAAGAGCGGCGCUAAUGCGCAUAGUGCGGCCCAGUCUCUAAGUGUGCCUUAUAAAACAUUCAUUCAAAAGGAUCCACUGGAAGACACAGACCAGUUUAAUUAUUUAGAUUCAACAAAGCAGAAAGGGCUGUGCUAGCAGCGUGUAAUGGGACGAGUCUGCGUAGCUGCCACACUGUAAACGGGAGUAAUGCUGUCGUCUGGAAUGGGACAAACUAUGAGUGAACAAAUUGAACAAAAAAUAAGCGGUCAAAACCUCUCGAUUUAAUUUGAUUUUUGAUUAACUUCCAUGUUGAUCUUCAGUCACCAGUGGUUCACUUCCCCUCAUAUAAAGCGAUGGAUGUAUUGCAUAUUUCUAAAACAAAUUAUUCAAUAAGUAAUGCAUUUAAUUCGUUUUUUUGUACUAAGUAAUAAAUACCGUACUUAACGAAACAAAGUUCGGAAUCUCAGAUAAAUAAUAAGAAAACAGUGUAACGGACUAGGCUAAGCAGUUUACAUAUGUAACACCCUCCCUAUUCAAGUUUGCUGGAAAAAUUGGGAUCAUGAACUUUUGUUUGUCGUGUAAUAUAAUUAUUCGUAAUAAAUGUUCAUGUAUUUUUAUUUUUAUUAAGCUGCGUGAAAGUGUCAGAACAGAAACACAGAUAUUAGGCGUUAUAAAUAAUCUAACUAGUCGUUUUUCCCGUCAGGGUGACGUUGGGAGAGCCCAUUCAUUUAGUUAUUAAAACAAGCCAUCGAACUUUUUUAUGACGGCGAAACUUUUAUAAACAUUUGUAUGACUGGAGCUCACCCUGCUGUUGCGAUCGGUCUCCCGGACGUCUUCCUCCGACAGCCCCUGCCUGAUCAUGAUCCGCACGAUGACGGCGUUAUUAGUGC